GACGAACGCUGGCGGCGUGCCUAAUACAUGCAAGUCGAACGCAGGGGGGACGGGUGAGUAACACGUGGGUAACCUCCCAUAUGAGGGGAUAACACUUGGAAACAGGUGCUAAACCGAUAUUGGUGGAUGGACCCGCGGUGCAUUCGCUAGUUGGUGGGGUAGCGGCUCACCAAGGCCACGAUGCAUAGCCGACCUGAGAGGGUGAGCGGCCACACUGGGACUGAGACACGGCCCAGACUCCGACGGGAGGCAGCAGUAGGGAAUAUUGGGCAAUGGACGAAAGUCUGACCGAGCAACGCCGCGUGAGUGAAGAAGGUUUUCGGAUCGUAAAACUCUUUUGUUAGAGAAGCGGUAUCUAACCAGAAAGCCACGGCUAACUACGUGCCAGCAGCCGCGGUAAUAC
rnacentral:rRNA from 1 species